UUAUAGAAUAUUCUUAUUCGGCGACAAUGGACUUCAAGUGCUCUGGGCUUUUUAUAUCGCUUGUGUGGGCUGCAGCUGUGAGCAGUCCGCCCAAUCAUGUCAUUCUGCCAUUCUGCCAUCCGCAUUGCGGAGACAUUGUUCCAUAUGUGGCAAGCACAAUUUGAAAUACCGAAAUAAAUCCAGAAACUAUUUGGAAACCAAAUAUAAAAUUGCUUUCAAAAAUAAAUUAUUUCAAACUCAUAGCAAAA